rnacentral:rRNA from 1 species
GAUGAACGCUGGCGGCGUGCCUAAUACAUGCAAGUCGAGCGAACAGACGAGGAGCUUGCUCCUCUGACGUUAGCGGCGGACGGGUGAGUAACACGUGGAUAACCUACCUAUAAGACUGGGAUAACUUCGGGAAACCGGAGCUACUACCAGCUAAUAUAUUGAACCGCAUGGUUCAAUAGUGAAAGACGGUUUUGCUGUCACUUUUAGAUGGAUCCGCGCCGCAUUAGCUAGUUGGUAAGGUAACGGCUUACCAAGGCAACGAUGCGUAGCCGACCUGAGAGGGUGAUCGGCCACACUGGAACUGAGACACGGUCCAGACUCCUACGGGAGGCAGCAGUAGGGAAUCUUCCGCAAUGGGCGAAAGCUUGACGGAGCAACGCCGCGUGAGUGAUGAAGGUCUUCGGAUCGUAAAACUCUGUUAUUAGGGAAGAACAAAUGUGUAAGUAACUAUGCACGUCUUGACGGUACCUAAUCAGAAAGCCACGGCUAACUACGUG